CCUACGGGAGGCAGCAGUGAGGAAUAUUGGUCAAUGGACGAGAGUCUGAACCAGCCACGUAGCGUGAAGGAUGACUGCCCUAUGGGUUGUAAACUUCUUUUAUAUGGGAAUAAAAUGUUCCACAUGUGUGAUUUUGUAUGUACCAUAUGAAUAAGGAUCGGCUAACUCCGUGCCAGCAGCCGCGGUAAUACGGAGGAUCCGAGCGUUAUCCGGAUUUAUUGGGUUUAAAGGGAGCGUAGGUGGAUUGUUAAGUCAGUUGUGAAAGUUUGCGGCUCAACCGUAAAAUUGCAGUUGAAACUGGCAGUCUGGAGUACAGUAGAGGUGGGCGGAAUUCGUGGUGUAGCGGUGAAAUGCUUAGAUAUCACGAAGAACUCCGAUGGCGAAGGCAGCUCACUGGACUGCAACUGACACUGAGGCUCGAAAGUGUGGGUAUCAAACAGGAUUAGAUACCCCGGUAGUC
rnacentral:rRNA from 1 species